rnacentral:tRNA from 1 species
AGUGGCGUGGUUAAACGUUUGGCUGCUAACCAAAAGGUCGGUGGUUGGAAUCCACCAACCACUC